GGACUCUGCCCACAGGGUCGGUGCAGCCACCGCCGCCACGCACCCGCCAGUGCGCGCAGAGAGAGCAAACUGCCAGGGUCGGACUGGGGUUGGGAUACCGCACCCGCAGGUGCUGGUCUCAGAUCCAGUUGUGGGAGAAACUGCACCAUAUCUAGGAUGCUGAUUCAAAGCAUACACUCCCUUGUGAAGAAACUUGCCCCAGAUUUCCAUGCUGUUUCCAUCUAAUUGGAGUACAAAGAAGCUGUGUUCCAGAGAUGUUCAAGGUUGUAUCUCCUGCUGCAGCUGGACUUGUAAUGUGUAAGAAUCACCAAGGUAGUAUUGGCUUUAAAGGUAUGAAGGGGUCAUAAGAUCACAUGAGGCUUGGCACUGUGAGAGUGAGGGAUGGCCACUGUUGAAGGAAUAGCCUUAGUAACAGUUGAGGUCUCAGGAAUGAAGGGACCAUGAAAAGAAGUUGAGGCUUAGCAUCAUGAAGAGAGUCUAUGAGAGACUACUGGUGAAACCUGAUUGUAGGUGAAGACCCCAGCAUAUUGGAGAUUCCAGAACCAUGGGAUGAUCACCAAGAAAAGCAUCAGGGAAUUAGAGUCAAUAAGAGCUUAGACUGCUAUAGAGGACAGAGCUAGAGAAGUGGCAAAACCCUUUGGAGGAGCCCAGAAAAUCAUGUGUGGAUCCUAGACAUUCAAACAAGAUGCUAUAAAGGUUAAGUUGUCUUGGAUGCCACAAGAUGUUAGAGAUACCAGAGUUGUAGGCAAACUGCUGAAGAAAGUUUGCAACAGGGAAUGGAAGAACAGAGAAUGAAGAAGUUUCUUGCUGUUAAAUGCAGGAUCUGGCAAUGGAAGUGAACAAGGAUGGAAAGACUCAGAAAUCUGACGAUUGCUUUGGCUUUGACACCAGACAUGGAGAUGCAGAUUUUGGAGUUUGCUCAGGUUAAUUUUCAUCUUGUUUAAUCCAGUGUUUUCUUACCAUGACAUUUUGGAAUGAUAAUGUAUAUCCUGCAUGAUAUUGGGGGUAUGUUGUCUUCUUUAUGUUUUUGAUUUUUAAGGGAUUACAGUUUAGAGAUUACCUAAUCUCAGAAGAAACAUUGAACUUUGAACUCCUAACAUUGGAGAAACUCUUAUAGACUAUGGGAACUGUAAAGUUGGAAUAAUGUAUUUUGCAUUGUGCUGUGCCUAGUUAUGACCUCUCUAGAGUCAUGUAUUUGAACUGUCCUAUUGUAACCAGGGAGUAGAAUGUGGUUUGAAUAUAUUUGGCAAAUUGGAAGUGGUACUAUCAUGAGAUGUGGCCUUGUUUGAGGAAAUGUGUCACUGUGGGCAUGGGCUUUGAGACACUCUCUCUAGCCAGGUAGGAACCAGUCAUCUCCUGCUUGCCUUUGAAAUAAGAUACCAUAAUUUCAACUCCUCCAGGACCAUGAUUUCUGCUUUGAUGAUAAUGGAUUGAACCCCUGAACCUGUAAAGCAAGCCCCAACUAAAUGCUGUCCUUUAAAAUAUUCACCUAGGUCAUAGUGUCUCUUCACAGUAAUGAAAAUCCUAACUAAGACAAUGGUGUAGUAAGUGCUGCUUUCACAAAGAUUAGUUCUCAAAAUGGAGGAACAUGUCCCAUUGGAGGCCUUCAGAGGUUUGUAGUUGAAGACAUUGGAACUACUCAUGCGUUUGUUGAGCAGAAACAGAUAGGAAAAAAAAAACAUGACACAUACUGCUAUCCCUGGAAUUUCAAAACUCUCUCACACAUGUGACUUCAUAUGAUUGAAGCUAAGAUGGAUAUUGGCAUUUCACUAACUUCAGUACUAAGUAUAGGGUCUGAAACAGACCUGAAGAAGACCCUUUUAAUAUCUUGUUUUACAGGGAACAUGUACAAAAUAUUAAAAAGUACCCAAGAGUCAAGUAUGGAGAAAGUCUGGUAACAAGAGAUCCAGGAGACAUGGGCUAAAUGUUUCUUUAACUCUUUAUCUCUUCAUAAAAACAGUUCACUAUGAGCUGUUGGCUCUUGGAGAAGACUGGUGAGGAGAGUCAGCAAAACUGACUCUAUUGGAUGCUUUACCAUAGAACAUGGGGCCUUCAGUUCAAUAAAUGAUUCAUGCCAUUGA